rnacentral:rRNA from 1 species
AGGACGAACGCUGGCGGCGUGCUUAACACAUGCAAGUCACGGGGGCUCAGCAAUGGGCAACCGGCGAACGGGUGCGUAACACGUGAGCAACCUGCCGAUCUGCGGGGGAUAGCCGGCCCAACGGCCGGGUAAUACCGCAUACGUUUUCUGAGGGACAUCCCUUAGGAAAGAAACCUCCGGGGCAGAUCGAGGGGCUCGCGGCCUAUCAGCUAGUUGGCGAGGUAACGGCUCACCAAGGCGACGACGGGUAGCUGGU